GACGAACGCUGGCGGCGUGCUUAAUACAUGCAAGUCGAACGAGGUCCUUCGGGACCUAGUGGCGAACGGGUGAGUAACACGUGAGCAACCUGCCCCGAAGACCGGGAUAACAGUGGGAAACCGCUGCUAAUACCGGAUACCCCCACCGGAUCACAUGGUCUGGUGAGGAAAUGCCUGAUUCUUUAAGUUUCAGACGCUUCGGGAGGGGCUCGCGGCCUAUCAGCUUGUUGGUGGGGUAACGGCCUACCAAGGCAACGACGGGUAGCUGGUCUGAGAGGACGAUCAGCCACACUGGAACUGAGACACGGUCCAGACUCCUACGGGAGGCAGCAGUGGGGAAUCUUGCGCAAUGGGCGAAAGCCUGACGCAGCGACGCCGCGUGAGUGAUGAAGGCCUUCGGGUUGUAAAGCUCUGUGGAGGGGGACGAAUGAGUCGUGGCCAACAUCCACGAUGAUGACGGUACCCCUUUAGCAAGCACCGGCUAACUCUGUGCCAGCAGCCGCGGUAAGACAGAGGGUGCAAACGUUGUUCGGAAUUACUGGGCGUAAAGCGCGUGUAGGCCGCUCCAAAAGUCGGAUGUGAAAGCCCUGGGCUCAACCUAGGAAGUGCAUUCGAAACUGCGGAGCUUGAGUCCUGGAGAGGAUGCGGAAUUCUCGGUGUAGAGGUGAAAUUCGUAGAUAUCGAGAGGAACACCGGUGGCGAAGCGGCCUUCUGGACAGUGACUGACGCUGAGACGCGAAAGCGUGGGGAGCAAACAGGAUUA
rnacentral:rRNA from 1 species